rnacentral:rRNA from 1 species
GACGAACGCUGGCGGCGUGCUUAACACAUGCAAGUCGAACGGAAAGGCCCUGCGUUUGUGGGGUGCUCGAGUGGCGAACGGGUGAGUAACACGUGAGUAACCUGCCCUUGACUGUGUGAUAACAUCAGGAAACUGGGGCUAAUACCGGAUAGGAGCUCCUGCUGCGUGGGGGUGGUUGGAAAGUUUCGGCGGUGGGGGAUGGACUCGCGGCUUAUCAGCUUGUUGGUGGGGUAGUGGCUGACCAAGGCUUUGACGGGUAGCCGGCCUGAGAGGGUGACCGGCCACCUUGGGACUGAGAUACGGACCAGACUGCUACGGGAGGCAGCAGUGGGGAAUAUUGCACAAUGGGCGGAAGCCUGAUGCAGCAAUGCCGCGUGCGGGAUGACGGCCUUCGGGUUGUAAACCGCUUUCGCAUGUGACGAAGCGUGAGUGACGGUAAUGGGUAAAGAAGCACCGGCUAACUACGUG